rnacentral:rRNA from 1 species
AUUGAACGCUGGCGGCAUGCUUUACACAUGCAAGUCGAACGGCAGCGCGGGCUUCGGCCUGGCGGCGAGUGUCGAACGGGUGAGUAAUGCAUCGGAACGUGCCCAGUAGUGGGGGAUAGCCCGGCGAAAGCCGGAUUAAUACCGCAUACGACCUGAGGGUGAAAGCGGGGGACCGAAAGGCCUCGCGCUAUUGGAGCGGCCGAUGUCGGAUUAGCUAGUUGGUGGGGUAAAGGCUUACCAAGGCGACGAUCCGUAGCUGGUCUGAGAGGACGACCAGCCACACUGGGACUGAGACACGGCCCAGAGUCCUACGGGAGGCAGCAGUGGGGAAUUUUGGACAAUGGGGGCAACCCUGAUCCAGCUAUGCCGCGUGCGGGAAGAAGGCCUUCGGGUUGUAAACCGCUUUUGUUCGGGAAGAAAUCCUCUGGGCUAAUACCCCGGGGGGAUGACGGUACCGGAAGAAUAAGCACCGGCUAACUACGUG